GGAGACGUCGCAUAGCCCGGUCGAGUGCGCCUCACUGCUAAUGAGGUAAGGGUCUUAAAGCCCUUCGGAGGUUCAAAUCCUCUCGUCUCCGCCA
rnacentral:tRNA from 1 species